AUAUGCGACCUUGACGACAACGACAAAACACACGCACAAACAGAGAAGAAACGAUGUGGAUAAUCACAGUGGCGUGGGACGACCACCAUCCCAAUUAAAUAGUUCGCAAAGAUGCGGCCGUUACCACCACUUGCCAUUAGCCUCCACAACCUGUCUGCGCAUACUGCGAUGUUCUCGAUCCUGUUGCUCGAAGAAGACUACUAUAACUAUAUAUAAUAUCAACGCUGUUGCUACACAAAGAUACGGACAACAUGGCGGAUGAAACACCUCAUACCAAUGCUAAUACCAGUACAAAUGUCAAUGCCAAUGCUAAUGGCGAAGUUGAUGAGCGCGAUCAUAAUCUCUCGUUGGGUCGACAACAAUCUUCGGACCUGCCUGCGUUGACUUCUACAGGAAGGGCUAUUCAGGCUUGUGAUAGGUGUCGGUUUAAGAAGGUUCGAUGCGAUGGCGCGGUUCCAACUUGUGGAAGAUGUAAAACGGCAGGCCUCGAGUGUCUUACCACGGUCAAACUUAACCGCAAGUCUUACCCAAGAAGUUAUACUGAAUCUAUUGAGGAACGCCUACGGCAGCUGGAAGCGGAGGUCCAUAAGCUAAGGGUGGGUAAUGAGAACAAAGAUAAGCGCAUUAAGGAACUGGAAGCGUCGGGUGCGAAUGCAUCUUCUCCAAGGCAAGCUGGUUUUUCGACAACGGCCAAUCGCCCUGAGAGUGUGCCAAAGCUUAGCCCAAGACCACCAACGGACGAACCUCUUUCUCGAGAAGUCGGACGCAUGAAUCUUGAUCGAAGGGGAAUAGGGCGUUUCAUGGGAUCCUCAUCUGGAAUAUUCUUUAUAGGGACCGCUGAGCAACGUUUCGCCAAUAUCCCCAAUCAUUCCGCGAAGAAAAUUGGGGAUUCGCUGCUUAGAGUCGAUGUGGAUGAUCAGACGACCGAGUAUCCCAUUCACCAUGUUGUUGACUCUGCGGCGACUUUGACCCCGCUACCUCCCCGUGAAACUGCUGAGCGGUACAUUGAUGUCUGGUUCAAUGCUUGGAGGCACAUCUUUCCCAUAUUGCAUCGCCCGUCGUUCGCGAAUUCACUCCACCAACUCUAUGAUAGCCCUUCUCCUGAACAUGAACCUCCUGUUCUAGGAAUAUUUUAUCUUAUACUGGCGCUUGGCUGCCGCCACCUUUUCCUCACUGGAGAUGCGACCGGAGGAAAUCCCACUGUGAAGAGCAACCAGGAAGAUAUUGAAUAUUACAGCCAGUCAUCUAAAUAUCACAAUGAUAUUUUAGCGUUGAAUAAUCUCACUACCUUGCAGUAUCAAGAACUGCAGACCUUGUGGUUUUUAUACACUGGAAAGCGCAGUCUGGCGUUUCAAGUGACUGGGAGUAUGACUCGCCUCGCGCUUGAACUGGGACUGCAUCGGCACACGAGGCGAUUUCAAUUCGGUCCGUUAGAGACUGAAUUAAGGAAGAGGGUUUUUUGGGUUUGUUAUAUGCUUGAUAAUUUUGUAUCCGCUAUUCAUGGGCUACCGAAAUCCUUUCGUGAUCAGGAUAUCGACGUCGAGCAUCCCUCAGAUGUCGACGACGAUUUCGUUAACUCAAGCAGCUAUUUGCUUUCAUUACCUGGCGAGCCUACUGGGAUGCUGACGUUCGUCUCGCUGAUCGAAGUUGUUCGAAUUCUUUCCAAUACCCUUGAAAUUCUUUACACGACCACUGAUAGAAGGCAAACUGUCACCAAAAUCAAGACGAUAGACAGAUUACUCGACCAAUGGAUCCAUACCCUUCCAGAUCACCUUCAAUUGGACUCAACUCCAUUUUCCCAGCCUCCGCCAGCUUUUGGUGAUACUCGUACACUUAUUGAGCCUUCAAUCGCCUUCUUACAUAUAUCAUACCUGUACAUUCGUCUUUCCGCUCAUCGAGUUGCGCUCUCGUUCUUUCCAUCGCAACCACACUAUUGCAUCUCGCUUGUGAAAUGCAUGGAUAUCGCUAAAGACCUUGUAUUUUUGAACUCUCAUUCCCGGCGAUUUUUACUGGUGUUCGAUGUCAAUCCCGGUUCCCAUGUCUACACUCUGUGGACGUGUGGGUUGCUAUCCCUAUUCGGGAUGCAUGAAUUUCGAAAUGGGAAUCAAAAGAUUGAGCUAUCCAUGAAAUCCCAAGAUGAUGCAAGAACAUCGUUGUUAACCUGUGUUGAUCUUCUAGAUGCCUUUGUAGCGGCUGGUCGAGACGGAGAGAAAGUCCGGUCUGAUAAUUUACGUUGUAUAUCAACGGCUCUUUCAGAUAAUUCCCAGAUAUCAGAUUCUACUUCAUCGCAAACUGACCAGCCCGAGGUGUGGAACCAACCACCUCCGCUGAUUUUACAGAAGCAGCUUCAACAACAUCAGCAGCAGCAACGGCAGCACCAUCAGUCAGUGGACAUCGCACAUACACCCUCGUCAUCAAACCAAUCACCGUCCCUUACCACUCCUCCUGCACAAUUUCCCCAAUUCCUCCCACAUUCAAUAUAUCCACAUCCGUCCCCAAACAAUCUAUCCACCCCAGAUACUCAAAUACAAAACCCUCCACGACCACAGUUGCAGCCACAACCACCACUCCCACAUCCACAAACAGACAUGCAAUCUCCCGGCCUCUCCCGCCUAGCAAUGUCCGCGACCUCCCCUUCGUUCCUAAACACCUUCGACAUCGAUUUCUCAAGUCCCUUCGCCCACCCCUACGACCGCAUCUCCGAUGCCUUCCCUCCACACCCCGCUCCUGACAACGGUACAAACAACAACCAGCAAAUCGCCUCUGGCUUGACAUCCUCAACACAUCACCAAAGCCACCAGCAUCCACAGCAACACCCCCACCCGCACCCUCACCCUCAUCAGCGCCAGCAGUCAAUCAGUCACGUCUGGGAUGACCCUGUAUUUAACCUUGCGUCGAUAAUGCGUGUGUCAGAAGCUGGAGACACUGGAAAUGGGAGUACCAACAGUGUUUCAUUUCCUAUGCAGGAUAUUGCGAGC
rnacentral:sRNA from 1 species